GUAGAUUACAAAUACUUUCACAAGAGAACACACAAGUUAUAGUAUCUCUAUCUUUAACCAUGAGAUCUGCUACUUGGUGUAUAGUUUCUUGUCUUCUCAUCGUUCUCGUAAUAACUGAUGGUAAAGGACCUAAAGUUGAUCCAGAUAAUACAUGUCAAAGAAUAGAAGAUAUCGAAGGAAACUGCAAAGUUGAUGGACCGAAAGCGUGUGAGAAGUAUAUGUCGACAACUUAUAACGGUACCUAUUUUAAUUGCACAUGUGACAACGUCUACAUGUUACGUAAGAUCAAGCGUUAUUGCCGAUGUGACGAAAUAUGUCCAGACGCUCCACCUCCAUCGAUCCACACUCGUUAAAUAACAUCUCAUUAGUCCUUUACUAAUAACAAAAGAGAAGUUGUGAAAGUUUGUAGUGUGGAGAUCACACACGCAUAGGUUUUGUUAGUCACCAAAUCUUUCUUUUGUAAUAAAGUCAUGAGUUGAUAUUCUAUAACUAUUUCUAGA